rnacentral:rRNA from 15 species
GAGAGUUUGAUCCUGGCUCAGAGCGAACGCUGGCGGCAUGCUUAACACAUGCAAGUCGCACGAAGGUUUCGGCCUUAGUGGCGGACGGGUGAGUAACGCGUAGGAAUCUAUCCAUGGGUGGGGGAUAACACUGGGAAACUGGUGCUAAUACCGCAUGAUACCUGAGGGUCAAAGGCGCAAGUCGCCUGUGGAGGAGCCUGCGUUCGAUUAGCUAGUUGGUGGGGUAAAGGCCUACCAAGGCGAUGAUCGAUAGCUGGUUUGAGAGGAUGAUCAGCCACACUGGGACUGAGACAC